GUGUUUUGAUGGCGUAUGUAUUCAGUGAUUACUCCGGUACGGUAAAGUGUAAAAUUUCCGAGCAUGUAACCGUGUAUACACUAUAUUUACAAUUACGCCAUGUAACAGUGUGUAACACUAUUUCGCAGCAUGUUACGGUGUAUGCCAUUGAUAAUGUAGUGUUUAUAUAGACCUAUAUACAGGUAAGUGUAACAGACUACCAGUUGUAACCUCUGAGUUGUAACAGUGUGACAACCAAUGGACCUUUCCCCUUAUAACUAAAAUUUCGAUCUAGACAAAAAUUUCAUCACAGCUUGAAAGAGCAUCACAAAAUUAGUAAUAUUCCAAAGUUUUGUUGCAAAAUCUUGUAAAGUGCGGAUAAUAUAGCCUUGCGAAGUUUGCCGUUUUUCAGUCAUUUUGUAUUACAAACGGGAAAUUGACAUCCGAUUCGGGUGUUGGGGUUGCAAUUUCCCGUUUGUAAUGCAAAAUGACUGAAAAUUGCAAACUUCGCAAGGCUCUAUUUCCCUCAUUUUACAACAUUUGGCAACGAAACUUUGGAAUAUUACUAAUUUUGU